UCAUCACAGUGAUGUCAUCACAGACGCUGUAUAAAGAGGCGUGUUUUCACAGAGGAGCCUCAGUCAGGACCCAGCAGUUCACUUAGUUUAAGUACAGAUUCUGAGCUACAGGUUUCAGAUUUAAAAUGACUGAGAGUAAAUUCACCUGUAUGGCGGAUCUCAUGGAGCAUCUCCACGCUUUAUCUUUAGCUCAUUUAGCCUCGUCAGCAUCCCGCGACUUCCCCAGCCAGCAGGACCUCGACCCUAUCCAAAGAAGAGCGAAUGGCCAACCUAUCUGUUCAUUGAGGACCUUCAUAUAUGGCUGUGGGGACACUGGUGAUACCGUUGAGGAACGAACCAUAAAAUACUGGUACUUGUUUCACACCGGGAGCAGGGACUCAUGGGAAUCUUCCUCUGAAAGCGAGGAGGACAGAGUAGCGCCUUUCCCCUUCGAGGGAUUUUGCUCCGCUUCCUCUUUAAAAAAUGAGGAGGACGUUAUAGAGCAGCCUGAACCUGAGGAGUCCAAGAUGAAGGAGGAGGAGGAGGAGGAGCUAUCUGGCUGCUUUACAAUCAAGACUGAUAUCGUGGCAGUACUUGUGGAAGCUUUUCGAGCAUUUAGACUGAGGAUGAGGAAAGCUUUCCGAAGAGGAAGAGGAAGAGUCGAGCCGGUGCAGAGCCCUUCCUUCUAGGAGGAUCCGACUUCUGCUUCUGCUCAAGAAGCGCCUCUCAGGACUCCUGAUGCUGAGGCAGAAGCUGAGGAGGAAGCAGCCGAGGAGGAAGCAGCCGAGGAGGAAGCAGCUGAGGAGGAAGCGUCUUCAGAGACUCGGAGAACCAGGAAGCUGCGCUUCCCCAAAUUUAAGGUAUGUUAGUUAUUAGAGUGUUGAUUGUUAAUUGUGACAGCGGCAGAUUUAUACCAUAAAUCUAUAAUAAUAAAUAAAAUAUAUAUCAGAAAUACA
rnacentral:lncRNA from 1 species